UUCCUGUUGCCUAGAGAAGGGAGGGAUUAAGUGACUUGGCCAAGGUUACAUGUAGCCAUUAUUGCAUCAAACACAGAGCUUGAACCCAGGUCCUUUUGCCUCUAAGGCCAGCUCUCUAGUCACUCUGCCCCUCACUGCCUCUAUACAUCCAGAAGAAUCCUCUCAGUGGCAGUUCUUGUCCUUGUUUGAGGAAAGCUACCAGGGAGCUGGUUUAGUCAGACCAUGACAAAGCAUGUCCUGAAGUGACAGCUGAAUGUCUGAGGGCACACCAGAGUGUCUGAAGGCACCAUGGCUGCCACGGGCCCAGUUUUAUCCUUUGUGGAAACACGUCUCCAGAAAAGCAUCGUCCAGAGCCUCAGAGUUCCAGGGCUGGUGUUGGGUGUUUCGUGGGACAGAGAGCUUAGACAUGAAUGCCAGGAUGGGACAGAGAUGAGCAGAAGUCAAAGACAUGGCCUGAGGACACCCACAGAGCAGCUCAGCUUGGAUGGUAUUUCCCUAGUGCAGAAAUCCCAUAUCCCUUCUUCCACUUGAGCAUUCAAUUUACAGUAAUGAGUUUCAGUGUGGGAAUUGAAGUGCUUUUGUGAAAUUCUGCCUAUAUUGUCAAAAACUCAGCUGAUGAUGAUGUUUUUGUGCAGUUUUUAUGGUUAUGAGCAUCUUGCAGCAUGCUUGGCUGAUUCAAUCCAAAUGUAGACUUUGGUGCAUACAUGGAGUGAAUUACCUGCCACAAACCCACA
rnacentral:lncRNA from 1 species